UUCCGGUUGAUCCUGCCGGAAGCUACUGCUAUUGGAAUUCGAUUAAAGCAUGCGAGUCGAGAGGGGUUCGGCCCUCGGCGUAAUGCUCAGUAACACGUGGAUAAUCUGCCCUUGGGUGGGGGAUAAGCUCGGGAAACUGAGUAUAAUACCCCAUAGAUCUGGUAUGCUGGAACGCUUUCAGGUUGAAAACUCCGGUGCCCAAGGAUGAGUCUGCGGCCUAUCAGGUUGUAGUGGGUGUAAUGGACCCACUAGCCUUCGACGGGUACGGGCCUUGAGAGAGGAAGCCCGGAGAUGGACUCUGAGACACGAGUCCAGGCCCUACGGGGCGCAGCAGCUGCGAAAACUUCGCAAUGUGGGGAACCACGACGAGGGAAUUCCAAGUGCUAGCGCAAUGCGUUAGCUGUUCUUUAGCCUAAAAAGCUAAAGGAGUAAGGGCUGGGUAAGACCGGUGCCAGCCGCCGCGGUAAUACCGGCAGCUCGAGUGGUAGUCGUUAUUAUUGGGCUUAAAGCGUCCGUAGCCUGCUCUGUAAAUUCUUGGGGAAAUCGGCCAGCUCAACUGGCCGAAGUCCGAGGAGACUGCCGGGCUUGGGACUGGGUGAGGUCAGAGGUACUUCAGGGGUAGGGGUAAAAUCCUGUAAUCCUUGAAGGACCACCAGUGGCGAAGGCGUCUGACUAGAGCGGAUCCGACGGUAAGGGACGAAGCCCUGGGGCACAAACGGGAUUAGAUACCCCGGUAGUCCAGGGUGUAAACGCUGUGGGCUUGGUGUUGGGAGUCCUACGAGGGCGCCCAGUGCCGGAGAGAAGUUGUUAAGCCUACUGCCUGGGGAGUACGCUCGCAAGAGUGAAACUUAAAGGAUUUGGCGGGGGAGCACCGCAACGGGUGGAGCGUGCGGUUAUUUGAGUCAACGCCGGG
rnacentral:rRNA from 1 species